ACGGGUGAGUAACACGUGGGCAACCUGCCCUUGAGACUGGGAUAACUUCGGGAAACCGGAGCUAAUACCGGAUAAUAUAAGGAACCUCCUGGUUCCUUGUUGAAAGAUGGUUUCGGCUAUCGCUUAAGGAUGGGCCCGCGGCGCAUUAGCUAGUUGGUGAGGUAACGGCUCACCAAGGCGACGAUGCGUAGCCGACCUGAGAGGGUGAUCGGCCACACUGGGACUGAGACACGGCCCAGACUCCUACGGGAGGCAGCAGUAGGGAAUCUUCCACAAUGGACGAAAGUCUGAUGGAGCAACGCCGCGUGAGUGAUGAAGGCCUUCGGGUCGUAAAGCUCUGUUGUUAGGGAAGAACAAGUGCGAGAGUAACUGCUCGCACCUUGACGGUACCUAACCAGAAAGCCACGGCUAACUACGUGCCAGCAGCCGCGGUAAUACGUAGGUGGCAAGCGUUAUCCGGAAUUAUUGGGCGUAAAGCGCGCGCAGGUGGUUUCUUAAGUCUGAUGUGAAAGCCCACGGCUCAACCGUGGAGGGUCAUUGGAAACUGGGGAACUUGAGUGCAGAAGAGGAAAGUGGAAUUCCA
rnacentral:rRNA from 1 species